rnacentral:lncRNA from 1 species
GAGAAGUACGCGCAACUCGUUUGCGUCUGAGGAAUCGGCCAUUUGUUGAGAGGAAGCAGUGCUGUUCAGUGGAAUUUCACCUCGUGUGCAUUAGAAAGUUCAGUGGCAAGAUGGGCAAGUCACAUCUAGUAUGUGCAGCAAUAAAUUGCAACAGCAAAGCAUAUAAUUGCAAUUUGUCUUUUUUCGGUUUUCCGCAAGACAAGGAAAGGUA